GCGCCCGUAGCUCAGCUGGAUAGAGCAUCAGACUACGAAUCUGAGGGUCGGCGGUUCGACUCCGUCCGGGCGCACCA
rnacentral:tRNA from 1 species